rnacentral:rRNA from 1 species
CCUACGGGGGGCAGCAGUGGGGAAUCUUAGACAAUGGGCGAAAGCCUGAUCUAGCCAUGCCGCGUGUGUGAUGAAGGCCCUAGGGUCGUAAAGCACUUUCGCCAGGGAUGAUAAUGACAGUACCUGGUAAAGAAACCCCGGCUAACUCCGUGCCAGCAGCCGCGGUAAUACGGAGGGGGUUAGCGUUGUUCGGAAUUACUGGGCGUAAAGCGCACGUAGGCGGACCAGAAAGUUGGGGGUGAAAUCCCGGGGCUCAACCCCGGAACUGCCUCCAAAACUCCUGGUCUAGAGUUCGAGAGAGGUGAGUGGAAUUCCAAGUGUAGAGGUGAAAUUCGUAGAUAUUUGGAGGAACACCAGUGGCGAAGGCGGCUCACUGGCUCGAUACUGACGCUGAGGUGCGAAAGUGUGGGGAGCAAACAGGAUUAGAUACCCUGGUAGUCCACACCGUAAACGAUGAAUGCCAGUCGUCGGGUAGUAUACUAUUCGGUGACACACCUAACGGAUUAAGCAUUCCGCCUGGGGAGUACGGUCGCAAGAUUAAAACUCAAAGGAAUUGACGGA